rnacentral:rRNA from 1 species
GAUGAACGCUGGCGGCGUGCCUAAUACAUGCAAGUCGAGCGAACGGACGAGAAGCUUGCUUCUCUGAUGUUAGCGGCGGACGGGUGAGUAACACGUGGAUAACCUACCUAUAAGACUGGGAUAACUUCGGGAAACCGUAGCUAAUACCGGAUAAUAUUUUGAACCGCAUGGUUCAAAAGUGAAAGACGGUCUUGCUGUCACUUAUAGAUGGAUCCGCGCUGCAUUAGCUAGUUGGUAAGGUAACGGCUUACCAAGGCAACGAUGCAUAGCCGACCUGAGAGGGUGAUCGGCCAAACUGGAACUGAGACACGGUCCAGACUCCUACGGGAGGCAGCAGUAGGGAAUCUUCCGCAAUGGGCGAAAGCCGACGGGGCAACGCCGCGUGAGUGAUGAAGGUCUUCGGAUCGUAAAACUCUGUUAUUAGGGAAGAACAUAUGUGUAAGUAACUGUGCACAUCUUGACGGUACCUAAUCAGAAAGCCACGGCUAACUACGUG